rnacentral:rRNA from 1 species
UGGCUAACGGGUGAGUAACACGUGGGUGAUCUGCCUUGCACUCUGGGAUAAGCUUGGGAAACUGGGUCUAAUACCGGAUAGGAACCGUCUUUAGUGUGGUGGUUGGAAAGUUUUUUCGGUGCAAGAUGAGCUCGCGGCCUAUCAGCUUGUUGGUGGGGUAAUGGCCUACCAAGGCGUCGACGGGUAGCCGGCCUGAGAGGGUGUACGGCCACAUUGGGACUGAGAUACGGCCCAG